UGGGGGAUAUUGGACAAUGGGCGAAAGCCUGAUCCAGCCAUGCCGCGUGUGUGAAGAAGGUCUUCGGAUUGUAAAGCACUUUAAGUUGGGAGGAAGGGCAUUUACCUAAUACGUAAGUGUUUUGACGUUACCGACAGAAUAAGCACCGGCUAACUCUGUGCCAGCAGCCGCGGUAAUACAGAGGGUGCAAGCGUUAAUCGGAAUUACUGGGCGUAAAGCGCGCGUAGGUGGUUCGUUAAGUUGGAUGUGAAAUCCCCGGGCUCAACCUAGGAACUGCAUUCAAAACUGUCGAGCUAGAGUAUGGUGGAGGGUGGUGGAAUUUCCUGUGUAGCGGUGAAAUGCGUAGAUAUAGGAAGGAACACCGGUGGCGAAGGCGACCACCUGGACUGAUACUGACACUGAGGUGCGAAAGCGUGGGGAGCAAACAG
rnacentral:rRNA from 1 species